AUAUGUAUGUACAAAUGGUGCAUUUAAAUAUAUGGCAUAGAUUAUAAUAUUUAGUAGUAGUUUCUCAAAAGAUACUCUCGUAUCUUCUCAUCCAGGGACAAAGAUGCUCCAUUGCUUCUGGUUGCUGUUUGCUCUUGGCAUUUGUUUGCACAUUUAAUUCUUAUGUUCAAUCCAAUUCUGGCUCAAAUCUUUCAGAGGAUUG
rnacentral:misc_RNA from 1 species